rnacentral:lncRNA from 1 species
GGUAAAACCCUUUCCACAUUGGGUUCUACAUGGAACCCAAAAAGGGUUCUACCUGGAUCCAAAAUGGGUUAUCCUAUGGGGACAGGCGAACAACCCUUUUGGAACCCUUUUCUCUAAGAGUGUAUACAUGGGGGCAUAAUGAUAUCUGCUCUGUAACAAUAGAAAAUGCACUAUCUUGAGUUCAUAUGCAUGACACAUUUAAAAAAUACUAUGCAUAUUAUGCAUAAAACUGACAAAAUGUAAUCAUAAUUUCUAUGGGGUAUUUUUUUAUUUAACCAUUAUUUAACUAGGCAAGUCAGUUAAGAACAAAUUCUUAUUUACCAUGACGGCCUACACCGGCCAAACCCAGACAACGCUGGGCCAAUUGUGCGCCACCCUAUGGGACUCCCAAUCACGGCCAGAUGUGAUUCAGGAUUUGAACCAGGGUUCUGGAUUUGAACCAGUGACUGUGGUGACACCUCCUGCACUGAGAUGCAGUGCCUUAGACCGCUGAACCAGGUACUGUAGUGACACCUCUUGCACUGAGAUGCAGUGCCUUAGACCGCUGAACCAGGUACUGUAGUGACACCUCUUGCACUGAGAUGCAGUGCCUCAGACCGCUGAACCAGGUACUGUAGUGACACCUCUUGCACUGAGAUGCAGUGCCUCAGACCGCUGAACCAGGUACUGUAGUGACACCUCUUGCACUGAGAUGCAGUGCCUCAGACCGCUGCGUCACUCGGGAGCCCAAUAGUGGUUAUUGGAUCAACUUACCCCAAGGAAUACAUUUUGACUAUAUUAGCCUGAUGUAUAAAACAAUCUUAAAAUGAUCUACAUUGGUUUAGAUACAAGCAUCAUAAAACCUGUAACACAAUAUUACUUUUUGAAAAUCAAUUUUUUGCAAGUAACCACUUUUUCCAUAUGGUUUCUUUUCACAGACUCCAUGAAAUGAUCAUCUGUUCCUAAAUAUUUGGUCACAUGACUCAUUUUGUGUAUGGUUUCCUGUGUAUGGUCUCCCCUACAUGUCUGACCAGUAGCCAUUUUACCAACAUGCUGCUUUAUGUUUAAUCAAUCGUCCUUCAUUACAAAAGUCUGUCAUGUCCAACCAAUGUUCCAUUGUUCUCUCUGUUACUUGGCACCUGCAGCUGCUGUUGUCGUACUACUCUGCAGUCUG